GCAACGUCCUCGCUCGCUAGUGUUUUAUUUACGUCUGCGUAUGUGAAAACACAAACUCAUCAUCCGCCAACCUCUAUCAACUCGUUACGUAUUAAUUUUGCCUCUUCAAGGCCACAAAAAGUUCCUUCGCUUCUUGGAUUGGGUAGUGUCAUUCACAUUCUUGACGUGGGAAGUCAGCGAGGGUGCGAAGGCACCUACAGAUCAACCAGAAUCCUUCCCAAACUCCUCCAGAUCGGAACCCGUCAACGGAUUUGAUCGAACCAAUCCUUAUUUACUAUCCCAUCCGCACGUUCAUCUUAUCAGUAAUUGACCCAGCACAAACUAGAUUCGGUAAUUACCACAAUCGCACGUAAAAAUGGCAGCUGCAAUGGGAAGGAAGCUGAUUGACAGCUUGAAGAGCAAGGAGUUCCGCGAGUACCUGAUGAGCACCCACUUCUGGGGACCGGUCGCCAACUGGGGUAUCCCGAUCGCGGCUCUCGCUGACAUUAAGAAGGACCCGAAGAUUAUCUCCGGGACCAUGACCACUGCUCUGUGCCUUUAUUCGAUGGUCUUCAUGCGAUUCGCCUGGCAGGUGCAGCCCCGGAACAUGCUGCUGUUCGCAUGCCACGUUACCAACUUUACUGCCCAAAGCAUGCAGGGCGCCCGAUGUUUCCAGUACAACCACCUUGGAGGUAACAAAAGCGCAACGCAACAGCCACCAGCAGCCAGUGGUGCUGCUGCGGAGCUGAAAAAGUAGACAAAACGUUACGAAAAUCUCAUCAUGCUGAAACGAAUUAUCGACGGUAGCUAUCGAAUCGAUCGAAAGAAAGGAAAAUGUGUGUGACACUUCUUAGAUAACUAGCAGUUUGGUUUAGGUUGAAGGUUCGCAGAACACAGGUGCUUUUAUAAUAGAGGUUGUAGGAAAGUUCACUAGCUUUAACUAUUUCUUCGACGGUAAACAAGGAAACAAAAUUGAGCUGUUAAUUUAUGAUACUUACAAUGUGACCCAGUGGAUAUUUAUGCUACAAAAAGUUUAUAAAAAAUGUCAUAGAAAAGGGGAAAAGGGUGUAGUACAAACAAUUUUUAGAUACAUUUAAAAACAAAGAUACAAAUUUUGACAAACGCACUAUUGCACGAAAUGUAGUCUUUCCAUAGUUGCACUGAAUAAAUUUAUACGAUAAAAAUAAAUGAUCUUGGUCGGGAAAUCUUAGGAUUACGUUCAGUCAAUGUUCCUGUUAUCCACUUGAAAUGCCAACUUGUCAAAUGAUUAAUACUGUAUGUUUUCGAAUUUUAUAACCACUUCCAAUAUCCCUGUAAUCUUAUAAGUUAUAAUCAAUUAUUCAAUUGAAUUUCGAAAAAGUAUACUUGAUUAUUAUCGAAUGGCUUCAAUUGCCUAACAAAUGUUAUGGCUACCGCGGAUCGAUUUUUUGUAUUGAGGUCAUCAUGGCAAUCACGACAUAAACUCGAGCUUUGACGUGUCAUUUCGACACUUUUUCGUUGUAUAAAGUAUUGGAAAAUAAAUGUAUAUAUUGCAAAAAGAAAGUCAUGAAAGUUCCAAUAAUGGACUUUGAAUCUGCUUGAAUUGAAUGUCGUACUUGCCCCGAUGUCCUUAUCGUUACCAAUUAGAAUAUAUCAUCAUACUAUUAUAAAAUGUUUAUCACAUAUACGCCAUGUGUUCGUAUACUUUUGAGAGGGGCUAUAUUUAUGAAGAAGUGAAACAAUUAUUUUCACAAUAAAUGUCUUACCGGAUGGAA